UGUUAGAAUUUGGCAAAAGUGUGAACUGACGCCCAGGUGGCGGCCCGGCAGACCUGGGAAGCAGAUGCCUGAUGACGCACCGCCCAGGAAGCCCCAACUGCCCUAGUCGAAUGAGCGGUCAACCUGGAAGGGGGAGCACGGCCCUUUGCGAUAUAGGCCUCCUUGACAGCCGACCGAACCCAGCGAGAGAUG